rnacentral:rRNA from 1 species
CACUCCUACGGGAGGCAGCAGUGGGGAAUUUUGGACAAUGGGCGAAAGCCUGAUCCAGCAAUGCCGCGUGUGUGAAGAAGGCCUUCGGGUUGUAAAGCACUUUUGUCCGGAAAGAAAUCCUUGGCUCUAAUACAGUCGGGGGAUGACGGUACCGGAAGAAUAAGCACCGGCUAACUACGUGCCAGCAGCCGCGGUAAUACGUAGGGUGCGAGCGUUAAUCGGAAUUACUGGGCGUAAAGCGUGCGCAGGCGGUUUGCUAAGACCGAUGUGAAAUCCCCGGGCUCAACCUGGGAACUGCAUUGGUGACUGGCAGGCUAGAGUAUGGCAGAGGGGGGUAGAAUUCCACGUGUAGCAGUGAAAUGCGUAGAGAUGUGGAGGAAUACCGAUGGCGAAGGCAGCCCCCUGGGCCAAUACUGACGCUCAUGCACGAAAGCGUGGGGAGCAAACAGGAUUAGAAACCCCAGUAGUCCCAU